CAGUCGCCGCGGGAAUACGUAGGUGGCAAGCGUUGUCCGGAUUUAUUGGGCGUAAAGCGAGCGCAGGCGGUCAAUUAAGUCUGAUGUGAAAGCCCCCGGCUCAACCGGGGAGGGUCAUUGGAAACUGGUUGACUUGAGUGCAGAAGAGGAGAGUGGAAUUCCAUGUGUAGCGGUGAAAUGCGUAGAGAUGUGGAGGAACACCAGUGGCGAAGGCGACUCUCUGGUCCGUAACUGACGCUGAGGAGCGAAAGCGUGGGGAGCGAACAGGAUUAGAUACCCCUGUAGUCCCUGUCUCUUAUAC
rnacentral:rRNA from 1 species